GAUGAAGAACGCAGCGAAAUGCGAUAAGUAAUGUGAAUUGCAGAAUUCAGUGAAUCAUCGAAUCUUUGAACGCACAUUGCGCCCGCCAGCACUCUGGCGGGCAUGCCUGUUCGAGCGUCAUUUCAACCAUCAAGCCCCCAGGGGCUUGUGCUGGGGCCCUGCGGCUGCCUGCAGGCCCUGAAAACCAGUGGCGGGCUCGCUAGUCACACCGAGCGCAGUAGCACAUCUCGCUCAGGGCGUGCGGCGGGCUCCUGCCGUGAAACCCCCCACUGUAACCCCAAAGGUUGACCUCGGAUCAGGUAGGAAUACCCGCUGAACUUAAGCAUAUCAAUAAGCGGAGGA
rnacentral:misc_RNA from 1 species